GUCCACGCCGUAAACGAUGGGUACUAGGCGUCGGGGGAGCGACCCUCCCGGUGCCGUCGCUAACGCAGUAAGUACCCCGCCUGGGGAGUACGGUCGCAAGACUGAAACUCAAAGGAAUUGACGGGGCCCGCACAAGCGGUGGAGCAUGUGGUUUAAUUCGAAGCAACGCGAAGAACCUUACCUGGGCUUGACAUGCUGGUGAAAGCCGGUGGAAACAUCGGCCCCUCUUCGGAGCGCCAGCACAGGUGCUGCAUGGCUGUCGU
rnacentral:rRNA from 1 species